AUCGUCUCUGGUACACUCCCUGUGGAUGAACUCAAGGAUCUUAAACAACAAGUCACCUCCAAGAUCGACUGUGGCAAUAGAGCUCUGGGUCUUGACCUUGUGAUACGAGACGAAGAGGGCGGUAUACAGGACCCAUUCUCAGUCAGCACGGUGGCGCUCUUCAGACAACACGAGACUGCAACGCAAAGAAUAGGCCAACAAAACGAUACACUCAAUCUAGGCUUCCAGAAACAUCCCAAAUCAGUCAACGUUUACUCCUACAACCUCU